AACGAACGCUGGCGGCGUGCCUAACACAUGCAAGUCGAGCGCGAAAGGAGCAAUCCGAGUAGAGCGGCGCACGGGUGCGUAACACGUGGGUAAUCUGCCUCAGGGUCAGGGAUAACCUUCCGAAAGGUUGGCUAAUACCUGGUAAGCCUACGGUCUCUUCGGAGGCUGUGGGAAAAGUAGACCUCUAUUUAUAAGUUUACGCCCAGAGAUGAGCCCGCGGCCCAUCAGCUAGUUGGCGGGGUAACGGCCCACCAAGGCGACGACGGGUAGCUGGUCUGAGAGGACGAUCAGCCACACUGGAACUGAGACACGGUCCAGACUCCUACGGGAGGCAGCAGUGGGGAAUUUUCCACAAUGGGCGAAAGCCUGAUGGAGCAACGCCGCGUGUGUGAUGAAGGUCUUCGGAUCGUAAAGCACUUUCGACCGGGACGAAAAACCUCUGGCUAACAUCCAGGGGCCUGACGGUACCGGGAGAAGAAGCACCGGCUAACUCUGUGCCAGCAGCCGCGGUAAAAC
rnacentral:rRNA from 1 species